CUUCCCGCUCUGACCCCGCUCCCGCUGCGGCUCUGCUCAGCGGGGCCGAGCCGGGGCUGCCGGGCCAGGCCAGCCAUGGAGGUGGAAGAGGCGUUCCAGGCGGUGGGGGAGAUGGGCAUCUACCAGAUGUACUUGUGCUUCCUCCUGGCCGUGCUGCUGCAGCUCUACGUGGCCACUGAGGCCAUCCUCAUCGCCCUGGUGGGGGCCACACCCUCGUACCACUGGGACCUGGCGGAGCUCCUGCCCAAUCAGAGCCACAGCAACCGGUCAGCAGGGGACGACCGUGCGCUCGGGGACUGGCUGCUCACGGCCAACGGCAGUGAGGUCCGGAAGCACGUGCACUUCAGCGGCAGCUUCACCUCCAUCGCCUCUGAGUGGUUUUUAAUUGCCAACAGAUCUUACAAAGUCAGUGCAGCAAGCUCUUUCUUCUUCAGUGGUGUGUUUGUGGGAGUCAUCUCCUUUGGUCAGCUUUCAGAUCGCUUUGGAAGGAAAAAAGUCUAUCUCACAGGUUUUGCUCUUGACAUCUUAUUUGCUAUUGCAAAUGGGUUUUCCCCCUCCUAUGCGAUCUUUGCAAUAACUCGCUUCCUGGUGGGCGUGAUGAACGGAGGAAUGUCGCUGGUGGCCUUCGUCCUGCUGAAUGAAUGUGUGGGCACCGCCUACUGGGCACUCGCAGGGUCAAUCGGUGGCCUCUUCUUCGCGGUCGGCAUUGCCCAGUAUGCCCUGUUGGGGUACUUCAUCCGCUCCUGGAGGACCCUCGCCAUUCUGGUGAACCUGCAGGGAACGGUGGUCUUCCUUCUGUCUUUAUUCAUUCCUGAAUCACCUCGUUGGUUAUACUCCCAGGGUCGACUGAGUGAGGCUGAAGCGGCUCUGUACCUCAUUGCCAGGAGGAACUGCAAGCUCAAGUGUACGUUCUCACUAACCUACCCAUCCAGCAGGAGCCACAGAGAGACCGGAAGCUUCCUGGAUCUGUUCCGUUACCGCAUCCUCUUGGGGCACACACUGACCCUGAUGUUCAUCUGGUUCGUGUGCAGCUUGGUGUACUACGGCCUCACUCUGAGCACAGGGGAUCUCGGCGGAAAUAUUUAUGCCAACCUGGCCCUGUCUGGCCUCAUAGAGAUUCCGUCUUACCCUAUCUGCAUCUACUUAAUUAACCAGAAAUGGUUUGGUCGGAAGCGGACAUUAGCGGCGUUUCUGUGUCUAGGAGGACUGGCUUGUCUUAUUAUAAUGUUUCUUCCAGAAAAGAAAGACACAGGUGUGUUUGCAGUGGUGAAUAGCCAUUCCUUGUCUCUGCUCGGGAAGCUGACGAUCAGCGCGGCCUUUAACGUGGUGUACAUCUACACCUCUGAGCUGUACCCCACGGUCAUCAGGAACGUUGGGCUUGGAACUUGUUCUAUGUUCUCCCGAGUUGGUGGGAUUAUUGCUCCCUUCAUCCCCUCACUGGUUGAGAUAUGUGCAAUGGUCUUUACCUUUCAUUAUCUUUGGAGCCACCGGCCUGACUUCGGGCCUCCUGAGUUUAUUAUUGCCAGAAACCCUUAACAGCCCAUUGCUGGAGACAUUUUCUGACCUUCAGGUGUAUUCAUAUCGGAGACUGGGGGAGGAAGCGUUGUCCUUACAGACCUUGGAUCCCCCACAGUCUGAGGACAAGGACGACACUGUAGGCAGUGAGAGUGAGGAAGAGGAAGAGUUCUUCGAUGCGGACGAAGAAACCCAGAUGAUUAAGUGAAGUGGCCCCGGAUCCCGCGUCCCAAGCAGACGAUGUCCUCGCCUCUAGCGAAGGCAGGCGUUCCCGGGAAGCGUCGAGCGUCGUGGAGUACAGGCUUGCACACACGGAAGAUCCUCAGCGCGGCUCGCUUUUUUCAGGCACAGAGGAUGAUGGAGAAGAGAUUUCAUGAGCGAGGACAUCACUGUACUGAGCAAGUCGUUGUUCAUUAGUCGGCAGUUCAGGUUCAUUUCUGAACCAUGACUUCUGGCCAGAGAGCUCCAAUCCACAUGCCAGGGUGGAAAGCUAAUUUGUUUCUGGAAGUCUGAUCGUGUUGCUUAUCCUUGAUCAUGCCUAAAGGCAGACGUGUAAAAUUCCUUCUGCCCUCUUAGUAGCAUCCUUAAGAUUUCAUCCUAAUACCAUAUUCGACAUCUACCCCUUAUCAUUUGUGCCUCGCCAGGAAUCUCUCGAGGCCGACUGGUGUUCACAUUCCACUUUCAUGCCAGAGGAAAAGCACUGAGAGGACAUUGUGUGUGGCCCAAGGCCUCCAGCUUUCCCCUAACUGAUGAGAGCUGGGUCCACCCCUUGCUUCCCCGGGCUCAGGGUUGGCUUGAGUUCCCUGUGUCUUGAGCCCCACAGACCGUCCCCUGAAAAAGCCAACUGUACUGAAGCAAUUUUUCUUAGAGCCAGAGGUAUGGCUGUAGCUCCCAGUCCACUCCCUUUGACUGUGUCACUUCCUCAGUUCUGACUUGGGCACAACUCGAGAAACCGGUCCAUCUCAGAUUCCAGUACCAGCAAUCACUUCAGAACUGUGCUCACUAAGGGAUGAAGCUUCAUGAAGGUGGAGGGCAGCCACAGAGUGACAGACAUGUCAAGCCCUUGAAAAGGGGCAGCUUUUAUAAGGAAGAAAAGAAAAUGAUCUGUCACGGGUUUUCGUUCUGUUUUCCACAUUGUGCAAUGAGGCACUUAGGCGACCAUUAAGAAUUUGAACACUUCUAAUCCCAGGUCAGUCCCUUGCCUCUGUAGUCAGAGUGGAAAGCAAGUAAUUUCAUAGGAAGUGUGGUUUUUUUUCAUGAAGUACUGCCAACUUUCAAAUAAGUCUGUCACACAUAGUUUUCUAAAAUCAUAUGCUGAAAGGACCUGUUUCCCUCAAAACUUGAAUGCUAUCUCAAGUAGGAGUAUUAACCUGGAGUCAACAAGUUGGUGCAAUAGGCCUUUAGGCCACUUUCCCAACCAGGAACUUUACUGUGGCUUCAGAAUUUCCCAUUUUACUAACUCUCGGAGAAAGAAGUUGCACUGGAGGUAAAGAGAAGACGUCAUGGGGCCUGCUUCUGGAAGUCUCGGAGGCAUCCCCCCCAGCUGGCUCUGACACUUCCCCAGCUGCUUCCACAUUAACCUCUUGGUUUACACUCUCAGUCUGUACCUUGGUAUUGGUUAAAGUAUUUUUAUGUCCUUGAUGUCUUUGAUGCUAUUUUGAGCUCUUCAUACAUAGGGGCCAUCUCUGCUGCUGUUUGUUUCUCUCUGCUGUGUCCAGAAGACGGGGGGCCUAGGCACAGUAAGGACCUAAUAAAUAUUGCUGUUUCUGACCACGAAAACUGUCGAUGUGAAUGAUACUUGCAAUAUCAUUUUUAUAAAUCCCAGGCAAAUAUGACUCCCACCCCCAAACUGUGGAAUCCUGCUUGUCUAUCUCUGGCCGAUGGAGACCCUGCCCACCACCAGGAGAGGAAGAGAGGACACGUAGAAGAUCUUCUUAGUGGCUGGGCGUUAAAAAUAAAACAAUGAACUAA